UACGGAGGGUGCAAGCGUUAAUCGGAAUUACUGGGCGUAAAGCGUGCGCAGGCGGUUAUGCAAGACAGAUGUGAAAUCCCCGGGCUUAACCUGGGAACUGCAUUUGUGACUGCAUAGCUGGAGUGCGGCAGAGGGGGAUGGAAUUCCGCGUGUAGCAGUGAAAUGCGUAGAUAUGCGGAGGAACACCGAUGGCGAAGGCAGCCCCCUGGGCUAACACUGACGCUCAGGCACGAAAGCGUGGGGAGCAAACAGG
rnacentral:rRNA from 1 species